rnacentral:rRNA from 1 species
CUGAUCCAGCCAUGCCGCGUGUGUGAAGAAGGCCUUCGGGUUGUAAAGCACUUUCAGCGAGGAAGAACGCUUCGGGAUUAAUACUCCCGAGGAAAGACAUCACUCGCAGAAGAAGCACCGGCUAACUCCGUGCCAGCAGCCGCGGUAAUACGGAGGGUGCAAGCGUUAAUCGGAAUUACUGGGCGUAAAGCGCGCGUAGGUGGCUAAGUCAGCCAGGUGUGAAAGCCCCGGGCUCAACCUGGGAACGGCAUCUGGAACUGCUUGGCUAGAGUGCAGGAGAGGAAGGUAGAAUUCCCGGUGUAGCGGUGAAAUGCGUAGAGAUCGGGAGGAAUACCAGUGGCGAAGGCGGCCUUCUGGACUGACACUGACACUGAGGUGCGAAAGCGUGGGUAGCAAACAGGAUUAGAUACCCUGGUAGUCCACGCCGUAAACGAUGUCAACUAGCCGUUGGGUCCCUUGAGGACUUAGUGGCGCAGCUAACGCAAUAAGUUGACCGCCUGGGGAGUACGGCCGCAAGGUUAAAACUCAAAUGAAUUGACGGGGGCCCGCACAAGCGGUGGAGCAUGUGGUUUAAUUCGAUGCAACGCGAAGAACCUUACCUACCCUUGACAUCCAGAGGACUUUCCAGAGAUGGAUUGGUGCCUUCGGGAACUCUGAGACAGGUGCUGCAUGGCUGUCGUCAGCUCGUGUUGUGAAAUGUUGGGUUAAGUCCCGUAACGAGCGCAACCCCUAUCCUUAUUUGCCAGCGAGUAAUGUCGGGAACUCUAAGGAGACUGCCGGUGACAAACCGGAGGAAGGUG